UCGUCGUGUAGUUCAACGUUCCUCACGA
rnacentral:sRNA from 1 species